GAUGAACGCUGGCGGCGUGCUUAACACAUGCAAGUCGAGGGGCAGCACGGUGUAGCAAUACACUGGUGGCGACCGGCGCACGGGUGAGUAACACGUAUCCAACCUGCCGCAUACUCCGGAAUAGCCUUUCGAAAGAAAGAUUAAUGCCGGAUGGCAUGUAUGUCCUGCAUGGGAUUUACAUUAAAGAUUCAUCGGUAUGCGAUGGGGAUGCGUUCCAUUAGCUUGUUGGCGGGGUAACGGCCCACCAAGGCAACGAUGGAUAGGGGUUCUGAGAGGAAGGUCCCCCACAUUGGAACUGAGACACGGGUCCAAACUCCUACGGGAGCAGCAGUGAGGAAUAUUGGUCAAUGGACGAGAGUCUGAACCAGCCAAGUAGCGUGAAGGAAGACUGCCCUA
rnacentral:rRNA from 1 species